rnacentral:rRNA from 1 species
GCGUGAGUGAUGAAGGCCUUCGGGUUGUAAAGCUCUUUUACCUGCGACGAUGAUGACGGUAGCAGGAGAAUAAGCCCCGGCUAACUUCGUGCCAGCAGCCGCGGUAAUACGAAGGGGGCUAGCGUUGUUCGGAAUUACUGGGCGUAAAGGGCGCGUAGGCGGCCCUGUCAGUCAAGCGUGAAAGCCCCGGGCUCAACCUGGGAAUUGCGCCUGAUACUGCAGGGCUUGAGGGUCGGAGAGGAUGGUGGAAUUCCCAGUGUAGAGGUGAAAUUCGU